rnacentral:lncRNA from 1 species
GAUUUUCUAACUACUUUCAGUGGGAGGAUUUGAUAAAAGCUGCUACAUCCGUAGCUAAUGUAAUCACGUUGCCUCCUCCAAAAGGGGACAUUGCUGAGAAUGAAAAGGGGCACUAUUAAUAAUAUUUGACCAACAAGUAUGAAUUGUGACUGUCCCACACAAUCUGGAGCAUAUGGUCACCCUCCCAUAGCUCCCUUUUGCAGUACUAUAAAUACAUAAGACAGGAUUUGGGAAAAUUCCCUUUUAAAUGUUUUAAAUUAUGAGAACACAGAUGGAAGGGGACUCAAUCAACUUAGUGCUUCUUUGCUCCAAAUGUGCCCUUCUUUCACAUGCUCUGUCAUCCUGUAACUGGGCCCUAAAAUCAAAGGUCCUCUGGUAGCUGUGCCAUCAUUAGGCUUUGCCAGUAAAAGUGCUGGAGAAACACUGAAGGGGCUUCUCUUCCUGGGUCCAGUACUUUUCUUCUGGCUCUUAUAGCACAGCUGCCUGUGGGCGGCUUCCCAGAACCCAGCAGACAGUUUCCUGCUUGCCAGCCCUGCCUACAGCGCCUCAGCCAACUUCUCUGCCACCCACUGAGCCACUGCCACACCCUCACCCCAGAAUUCUGGCUCUCAGCCUAGGUGGGGAGCGGUGGGAAGUGUCAGCCCUAGAGCUAGUGGCUGCUCCUUUAUCUGUUAUUCCU